CCUGUACGUUGCACAAGAUCAUUUCCCUUCUUUGGAUAUACAUAACGACUGGAAUUGACAGAAAACAAUUGAAACAAAAAUAAACUGGACACGUAAAGUCGCCUAAGCUGUAGAAGGCAGUGAAUUAGGUUACGUUGAUCGGAACAAAAGGACGGCUGUACUUUCUUUGCAGUAAAAGUCCUAGAUGCAAAUUGGAGAAAUCUGUCCGUGGUUCGUAGAACAGAAUGAAAUGCUGUAACAACAAUGGCUAUACGAAUCGGAUAGGAGACAAAUUGAUAGAUAAGACAGUCUAACAUAAGAUAAAAUGAAUGCUUUGGUUAUGUAGGACAUAGUACUGCUUAAAUCCACCGAGCGUAACCUAAACUACGUCAUGGUGGCCAACCGGCGUAAAUUCACUAGAUAAUACAUGGGAAGCUAUACUUGUUACCGGUAGAAAGAAAGGAAGAAAUGCGAUUCAUUAAAAAAAUCAUUGACGGCAAAUGCUUUGCACUGUUUCCAACUGUUUGAUAAAGAAUGCCAAAGAUCACGUAGAAAUAUUCGUAUAAUUAUAUUGUGCCGAAUAUAUGAGAUAAUUUGGUAAAUUAUUAUGGCGCGGAUAAGCAUGAGCAAAAAUUAUUGAUGGCCAUUAAUAAAUUAUUGAAUGAGUCGCAUAUUUUUCGUACACUGUCUACAGACUUUGUGCUUAUCAAAAUCUAUUUUAGCUUACAGAUCUGCCUUGUCAUCGUUUAAUAUUUAACUUACCACGAAGGAUUGUUCUCAAAACAUCCAUUAAUCGCAGGGACGAUGUGUUUGUACCGUCACUGGGUUGGCGAGUGGCCUCAGCACAUGAAAAUAACCGUUUUAAGUGAACACCUGCCUGUACGAGUAAACCGAUCGGUUCAAUCGAUUGAAGGCGAGCACAAUAUUUAUCGAAGAACCGAAAGAG